rnacentral:lncRNA from 1 species
CUCCCUAAAUGCUGGAAUUACAGUUGUGAGCCACCACACCUGGCCUGUCUCCAAAUUAACAAAAAAAUUAUUAACAUAAUUUAUUUGAGUCAUACAAUACAUAGAGUAUUUCAAGUGAAUUAAAAUACUAUAACAAUGUAAGAGAAUGUUUAUAAAAAUGGAAGAAAGAAAUAGAAAAACCACCCAUACUACUACCAUCGCAAUGUAAAUUUCUUUUUCAUAUUCCUUCACAGUAAUUUUUCCAAUUAUGUAAUUUGUAUAACACUCUGGACAUAACGUAUCCAUAAGUGGUUAUGUUGUUGUUUUUGAGACUCAUUUUUUUUCUUGUUGCAAUAUAUUCUUGUCAUUUAGAAUUACUAAUGACCUCAAAAUAUUCCUUUGAACAAAGGCACUCUAUUUUAAAUUUUUUUCUGCCUCCCUCUGCACAUUGUCAUUACAUUUUCUUAUGCCUACAGAGCACCAUAACCUUAGAUGGGGGUGUCCUGGUACAUGUGCAGAAAUGGGAUGGAAAAUCAACCACCAUAAAGAGAAAACGAGAGGAUGAUAAACUGGUGGUGGAAUGCGUCAUGAAAGGCGUCACUUCCACGAGAGUUUAUGAGAGAGCAUAAGCCAAGGGACGUUGACCUGGACUGAAGUUCGCAUUGAACUCUACAACAUUCUGUGGGAUAUAUUGUUCAAAAAGAUAUUGUUGUUUUCCAUGAUUUAGCAAGCAACUAAUUUUCUCCCAAGCUGAUUUUAUUCAAUAUGGUUACGUUGGUUAA